UACGAAGGGGGCUAGCGUUGCUCGGAAUUACUGGGCGUAAAGCGCACGUAGGCGGCUCUUUAAGUCGGGGGUGAAAUCCUGGAGCUCAACUCCAGAACUGCCUUCGAUACUGGGAAGCUCGAGUCCGGGAGAGGUGAGUGGAACUGCGAGUGUAGAGGUGAAAUUCGUAGAUAUUCGCAAGAACACCAGUGGCGAAGGCGGCUCACUGGCCCGGUACUGACGCUGAGGUGCGAAAGCGUGGGGAGCAAACAGG
rnacentral:rRNA from 1 species